GACGAACGCUGGCGGCGUGCUUAAACACAUGCAAGUCGAGCGGUAAGGCCCUUUCGGGGGUACACGAGCGGCGAACGGGUGAGUAACACGUGGGUGACCUGCCCUCAGCUCUGGGAUAAGCCUGGGAAACCGGGUCUAAUACCGGAUAUGACUCCAUGACGCAUGUUGUGGGGUGGAAAGCCUUGUGCGGCUGAGGAUGGGCCCGCGGCCUAUCAGCUUGUUGGUGGGGUGANGGCCUACCAAGGCGACGACGGGUAGCCGGCCUGAGAGGGCGACCGGCCACACUGGGACUGAGACACGGCCCAGACUCCUACGGGAGGCAGCAGUGGGGAAUCUUGCGCAAUGGGCGAAAAGCCUGACGCAGCGACGCCGCGUGAGGGAGUGACGGCC
rnacentral:rRNA from 1 species